rnacentral:rRNA from 1 species
AUUGAACGCUGGCGGCGUGCUUAACACAUGCAAGUCGAUCGGUAACGCGGGGGCAACCCUGGCGACGAGAGGCGGACGGGUGAGGAACGCUUGGGAAUCUGCCUAUCAGCGGGGGACAACACGGGGAAACUCGUGCUAAUACCGCAUACGCUCUACGGAGGAAAGCCGGGGACCGCAAGGCCUGGCACUGAUAGAUGAGCCCAAGUCGGAUUAGCUAGUUGGCGGGGUAACGGCCCACCAAGGCGACGAUCCGUAGCUGGUCUGAGAGGACGAUCAGCCACACUGGAACGGAGACACGGUCCAGACUCCUACGGGAGGCAGCAGUGGGGAAUAUUGGACAAUGGGGGAAACCCUGAUCCAGCGACGCCGCGUGGGUGAAGAAGGCCUGCGGGUUGUAAAGCCCUUUCGGUAGGGACGAAAGCUCUCGACCUAACACGUCGGGAGGUUGACUUAACCUACAAAAGAAGCACCGGCUAACUCUGUGCCAGCCGCCGCGGUAA